rnacentral:lncRNA from 1 species
GCCCCAGGUGACUUUUAAAAUGUAGAUAUCAUUGAAAAAACUUCAAAUUAUCUCCCUUUGGUGAAAAAAUGCCUUUUUUGGCAUUAAAAUUGAAAUAUCUUUUUUAACUCAUCUGUGACCUAUAUUUUUUAGUCUUGUUUUCGAAUAAGCUGUAUAUAAACUAAAUAAUUGUAAAAUUUAAGCGAUUUCUGUAAUUAAGUUC